AAUGUCAUACCUCUUUUAGGUCAAGCAAAAGGAUAAUAAUGCUCUACAGUGUUGUGAUAUAUGACAAUUUUUGUUUUUCUUUAUUUUUAAGUGUCCCAUGACUUCAUAGAGAGUGGAUCAUACUCCUCAAACCAUGAAUGUAAAACAAGGAGCUUCAGCUUUAUCAUUGCUGUGAGAUUUACAGCACUUCCUUCCAUCGUCAGCUUGCUAAUAGGCAGUGGUUGAACUCCCUGGAGUCUAAACUAGGAAAUAUGAGCAGUAUGUAACUGCUAUGGCUGGAAUCGCAUUCCACUUCAGAAGCUUCUUAACAGCAUUCUCAGAUGUGUGAAUAUACAUUAGUGACCCAAGGGGAUUACUCCCUGGCACCAAGUUUACCUUUAUGAGGGGCCUGGAUGAUGAGACCUUCCCUCCCAUAAGCAGAAGUGUCUGGAAAGCCCAGCUCUCAAGUAAGCAGCUGCCUUGCCUGUAUGUCCACAGCAUCAGUGACUGCCAAGAUGACCAAAGUUUCCUGAAAGGUGAAGAAAAUGCUUGAUUCUGGAGCACCCUUCUAAUAGCAAGUGCUGUGCUGUGGUCAGUCAUGUUCCACUCUGCAGUCCCAUGGAAAGUAGCCUGCCAGGCUCCUUUGUCCUUGGAAUUUCCCAGGCAGGAAUACUGGAGCAGGAUAUCAUUUCCUCCUCCAGGUUGUCACUUGCUCCAGAUCUUCCCAACCUAGGGAUCAAACCCGCGUCUCUUAGCAGGUGAGUUCUUUACCAUAGUGCCACCUGGGGAGCCCAAUUUAUUUUGA
rnacentral:lncRNA from 1 species